rnacentral:rRNA from 1 species
ACGCUCGACACCUACGGGAGGCAGCAGUGAGGAAUAUUGGUCAAUGGGCGCUAGCCUGAACCAGCCAAGUAGCGUGAAGGAUGAAGGCUCUAUGGGUCGUAAACUUCUUUUAUAUAAGAAUAAAGUGCAGUAUGUAUACUGUUUUGUAUGUAUUAUAUGAAUAAGGAUCGGCUAACUCCGUGCCACAGCCGCGGUAAUCUGAGCGGGCUGGCAAGC